UGUUGCUGGCUGGGGUCAAACCAUGAGAGUGAAAAAAAUAAGUGGGAAAAAUAGCAGAAAAACAGUCUUUUAGACACCCACAUAAGGAAAGAAGGAGGGGGAAGAGAUGCUCUAGGCACCACAGAUUCCACAUAGAUAAUGAAUAAGACCAGUUUGCUCCCCUGCAGCCCCUGGAUAAUCAUGUCAGAACAGACAUCUGCCCUGUAGUUUGUGGAGGACCCCACACUGAAGCAGAUGGAUUUGCCCUGAAGAACUGCAGCCUGUGAAAAGAGUUCAUGUCAGACUGACCCCACUCUGGAUCAGGAAAAAAAUGUGAGGAAGGAAGAGCAGAGAAAUGUGUUAUGAACUGAGUGUGACUCCCAUUCCUCGUGCCCUGUGCUGCUCGGGAAGGGAACAGUGAGGGAGUGAAGUUGAGGAAGGGGAGUGAGAGAACAUCUGGAUGAGCACCUGGUGGCCAGCCAAGGGUUAAGAAUAAACCCUCAGGUUCCUCUUUCCCCAACCAGUUGAUACAUACCACCCUAAGGUCUUGCUGAACCCCAAGAAAUCUAGGUCUAGCCAUUGGAUUUAUGCACGUUUAUGCAUUCAUCUUAGCUGAAGACAGUACUUUGCAAGGCAAUUUACAAAGGAAUCAAAUUUUUAAGUACCAUGAAAUUAAUCAGACCAUGUACAUGUUGAAGCCAUUUCUUUUAGCAGUAUAUAAGCACCAAUGAAGUGAGGAUGAAGAAAGCAAUUUAAAACCGCGACUAUCUGGAGAUGUGCUUCUGACUUGAACAGCUUCAAUGGAUCCUUUUUCUCCCUUGAGUCCCUCUUGAGGUCCCAGUCCAGUUCAAGUGUGUCAAACUGAUGCAGCUUUAUUUGGUUUUGGAUACUUGCUCUAUUAAAAACCCCAACAAACCAGUCAAAAAACAAUAACAACAACAACACCCCUAGAGAAUUUUAUAUAUAACCCCCAGCAGGCUAUUUGCAUUUUGAUUCACAUGACACUUUUUUUCUGUUCAAGUAGUUUGCUCUACAUAUACUGAAGACCAAUCUGUAACAUAUCAUAAAAUAAUAAAAAUCACU